GAUGAACGCUGGCGGCGUGCUUAACACAUGCAAGUCGAACGGAAAGGCCCAAGCUUGCUUGGGUACUCGAGUGGCGAACGGGUGAGUAACACGUGGGUGAUCUGCCCUGCACUUCGGGAUAAGCCUGGGAAACUGGGUCUAAUACCGGAUAGGACCACUUCCUGGAUGUUGUGGUGGAAAGUUUUUUCGGUGUGGGAUGAGCUCGCGGCCUAUCAGCUUGUUGGUGGGGUAAUGGCCUACCAAGGCGUCGACGGGUAGCCGGCCUGAGAGGGUGUACGGCCACAUUGGGACUGAGAUACGGCCCAGACUCCUACGGGAGGCAGCAGGGGGGAAGAUUGCACAAUGGGCGCAAGCCUGAUGCAGCGACGCCGCGGGGGGGAUGACGGCCUUCGGGUUGUAAACGCCUUUCGCUAGGGACGAAGCGUUUUGUGACGGUACCUGGAGAAGAAGCACCGGCUAACUACGUG
rnacentral:rRNA from 1 species